CAAAUUUCCAAACUUUAAAUAUGUAGCUCUAGCUACAUAUUUCAGUCAAUUUGGAAGCUUUUUGAGUUGUUGGGUUUGGUUUUUGUUUUUUAAUUUUACUUUUUAGUAUGAACAAUUGCAAACAUAUAAGAAGUGGAGUUUAUAUUAUCCAGGUGUGACCAAGCUUAUUUUGUUUAUAUUCUGACUUUGCCCACUCCUCAGCCCAUUGUUUUGAGGCAAGUACCAUAUAUCAUAUUUCCCUUCACCCAUAAAUAUUUCAGUAAAUAGUUCUAAAGGGAGAAGAGGCUGAAUGCAGUAGUUCAUACCUGUAAUCUCAACACUUUGGGAGGUGGAGACAGGAUGGAGUUUGAGACUAGCCUGGGUAACAUGGCAAGACCCCAUCUCUACAGAAAAUUUUUUUAAAAAUUAGGCAUGGUGGUGCAUGCCUGUGCCUCCCAAGUAGCUAGGAUUACAGGCAUGUGCCACCACCACGCCUGGCUAAUUUUUGUAUUUUUAGUAGAGACAGGGUUUCACCAUGUUGGCCAGGCUGGUCUCGAACUCCUGACCUCAAGUGAUCCACCCGCCUCAGCCUCCCAAAGUGCUGGGACUACAGUUGUGAGCCACCGCG
ensembl:lncRNA novel transcript, sense intronic to SIPA1L3